GUGGGGAAUUUUGGACAAUGGGCGCAAGCCUGAUCCAGCAAUGCCGCGUGCAGGAAGAAGGCCUUCGGGUUGUAAACUGCUUUUGUACGGAACGAAACGGUCCGGGUUAAUACCCUGGGCUAAUGACGGUACCGUAAGAAUAAGCACCGGCUAACUACGUGCCAGCAGCCGCGGUAAUACGUAGGGUGCAAGCGUUAAUCGGAAUUACUGGGCGUAAAGCGUGCGCAGGCGGUUUUGUAAGACAGGCGUGAAAUCCCCGGGCUCAACCUGGGAAUUGCGCUUGUGACUGCAAGGCUGGAGUGCGGCAGAGGGGGAUGGAAUUCCGCGUGUAGCAGUGAAAUGCGUAGAUAUGCGGAGGAACACCGAUGGCGAAGGCGGCAUCCUGGGCCAACACUGACACUGAGGCACGAAAGCGUGGGGAGCAAACAGGAUUAGAAACCCGUGUAGUCC
rnacentral:rRNA from 1 species